GCAAGUCGAACGAGAUUCUAGUUUUCGGAUUAGAUGAAAGUGGCGCACGGGUGCGUAACGCGUAUGCAACCUACCCUUUACUGGAGGAUAGCCCGGAGAAAUUCGGAUUAAUACUCCAUAGUAUUACAGAUUGGCAUCAUGAAGUAAUUAAAGAUUUAUUGGUAAAGGAUGGGCAUGCGUGACAUUAGUUAGUUGGUAAGGUAACGGCUUACCAAGACUAUGAUGUCUAGGGGUUCUGAGAGGAUGAUC
rnacentral:rRNA from 1 species